CUACGGGGGGCACCAGUAGGGAAUCUUAGACAAUGGGGGAAACCCUGAUCUAGCCAUGCCGCGUGAGUGAUGAAGGCCUUAGGGUUGUAAAGCUCUUUCGCUGGGGAAGAUAAUGACGGUACCCAGUAAAGAAACCCCGGCUAACUCCGUGCCAGCAGCCGCGGUAAUACGGAGGGGGUUAGCGUUGUUCGGAAUUACUGGGCGUAAAGCGCGCGUAGGCGGGCUAAUAAGUCAGGGGUGAAAUCCCGGGGCGCAACCCCGGAACUGCCUUUGAUACUGGUAGUCUUGAGUGCGAGAGAGGUGAGUGGAAUUCCGGGUGUAGAGGUGAAAUUCGUAGAUAUUCGGAGGAACAUCAGUGGCGAAGGCGACUCACUGGCUCGAUACUGACGCUGAGGUGCGAAAGUGUGGGGAGCAAACAGGAUUAGAUACCCGAGUAGUC
rnacentral:rRNA from 1 species